AUGGCCCCGGGGGCCGAGACCCUCGCUUGCCGAAGGGGGCUGCUGCGCGGCCACGGCUCAGGCGGGCUCUCCAUCCCACGUCUCCCGCACACGCUGAACGCUAGAACUGCGUCUCAGCGCUCGCGGGAUGAGGGCGGAGCCUCGGUCCCGUCUGGGCGUCUGAAGACAAGGCCUUUGGGAAGGGAUUUGCUGGGGCGAAUCCCCACGAUCGAACAGGGGUGGCUUUGCCAGGACGGACAUGGGCGUGAAGGAAAAGCACACUUCCUGUCUACUUCCUGUCUACUUCCUGUCUCUCUGCUUCCUGUCUCUGCUUCCUGUCUGCUUCCUCUCUGCUUCCUGUCUGCUUCCUGUCUCUACUUCCUUGUUUCCUGUCUGCUUCCUGUCUGUUUCCUGUCUACUUCCUGUUUCCUGUCUGCUUCCUGUCUGUUUCCUGUUUCCUGUCUACUUCCUGUCUCUACUUCCUGUCUCUACUUUCUGUCCUGUACUUCUUGUCUACUUCCUGUCUGCUUCCUGUCUACUUCCUGUCUCUACUUCCUUCUGUUUCCUGUCUGCUUCUACUUCCUGUCUGCUUCCUGUCUCUACUUUCUGUCCUGUACUUCUGGUCUACUUCCUGUCUCUCUGCUUCCUGUCUGUUUCCUGUCUCUACUUUCUGUCCUGUACUUCUGGUCUACUUCCUGUCUGCUUCCUGUCUACUUCCUGUCUCUACUUCCUGUCUGCUUCCUGUUUCCUGUCUGCUUCCUGUCUCUACUUCCUUCUGUUUCCUAUCUACUUCCUGUCUACUUCCUGUCUGCUUCCUGUUUCCUGUCUAUUUCCUGUUUCUGCUUCCUGUCUUCUUCCUGUCGGCUUCCUAUCUGCUUCCUGUCUCUACUUCCUGUCUGCUUCCUGUCUGCUUCCUGUCUUCUUCCUGUUUCCUGCCUGCUUCCUGUCUUUACUUCCUAUCUCUACUUCCUGUCUGCUUCCUGUCUGCUUCCUGUCUGCUUCCUGUCUCUACUUCCUGUCUGCUUCCUGUCUGUUUCCUGCCUGCUUCCUGUCUGUUCCUGUCUUUACUUCCUAUCUCUACUUCCUGUCUGCUUCUUGUCUGUUUCCUGUCUGCUUCCUGUCUGCCUCCUGUCUCUACUUCCUCUCUGCGCCCUGGUGCACCGUGCGGUGUUCCUCCACCAGGUUCCGCACCCACCUGCUCAUCAGACGGCAGGCUGA
rnacentral:lncRNA from 1 species